rnacentral:rRNA from 1 species
UUGAACGCUGGAGGCGUGCUUAACACAUGCAAGUCGUGCGAGAAAGGGACUUCGGUCCUGAGUAGAGCGGCGCACGGGUGAGUAACGCGUGGGUAAUCUCCCUUGGUGACUGGGAUAACAGUGGGAAACUGCUGCUAAUACCGGAUAAUCUUCAUGUUUAACUUCAUGGGGAAAAGUGGCCUCUGCUUGCAAGCUACCACACCGAGAUGAGCCCGCGUCUCAUUAGCUAGUUGGUAGGGUAAUGGCCUACCAAGGCUACGAUGAGUAGCUGGUCUGAGAGGAUGACCAGCCACACUGGGACUGGAACACGGCCCAGACUCCUACGGGAGGCAGCAGUGGGGAAUAUUGCGCAA